rnacentral:rRNA from 1 species
GAGUUUGAUCCUGGCUCAGCGCGAACGCUGGCGGCAUGGCUAAAACAUGCAAGUCGAACGCGAACGUCACUCCGGUGAUUAGUAGAGUGGCGAAAGGGCGAGUAAUGCGUUUCUAACGUGCCCCCAAGUAAGGGAUAGCAUCGAGAAAUCGUUGGUAAUACCUUAUAAUCUCCUAGCGUCGUAUGGCGUCUGGAGCAAAGAUUUAUUGCUUGGGGAGCGGGGAACGUCCUAUCAGAUUGUUGGUGGGGUAAUGGCCUACCAAGUCUAAGACGGGUAGCGGGUGUGAGAGCAUGACCCGCCGCAUCGGAACUGAGACACUGUCCGGACUCCUACGGGAGGCUGCAGUAACGAAUAUUCCACAAUGGACGAAAGUCUGAUGGAGCAAUGCCGCGUGUGGGAUGAAGCAUCUAGGUGUGUAAACCACUGUCAGGAGCUAGGAACACAAUGACCAGCUCCAAAGGAAGGGCCGGCUAACUUCGUGCCAGCAGCCGCGGUAAUACGAAGGGCCCGAGCGUUGCGCGGAAUCACUGGGCUUAAAGCGUGCGCAGGCGGAUAUGCAAGUACCUUGUGAAAUCCCAUGGCUCAACCAUGGAACUGCUUGGUAUACUGUGUAUCUUGAGGUCGGUAGGGGCCAUCGGAACGAUAGGUGGAGCGGUGAAAUGCGUAGAUAUCUAUCGGAACGCCUAAGGCGAAGGCAGAUGGCUGGGCCGAUUCUGACGCUCAUGCACGAAAGCGUGGGGAGCGAACGGGAUUAGAUACCCCGGUAGUCCACGCCCUAAACGAUGUGUACUAGAUUGCAGCUGCUCUGACGUAGUUGCGGUUGAAGCAAAAGUAUUAAGUACACCGCCUGGGGAGUACGGUCGCAAGGCUAAAACUCAAAGGAAUUGACGGGGGCUCACACAAGCGGUGGAGCAUGUGGCUUAAUUCGAAGCAACGCGAAGAACCUUAUCCUGGAUUUGACAUGCACGGAUUAUUGAUCUGAAAAGUGAUAGACACUGCUUGCAGUGGAACGUGCACAGGUGCUGCAUGGCUGUCGUCAGCUCGUGCUGUGAAGUGUCGGGUUAAGUCCCUUAACGAGCGAAACCCCUGCCGUUAGUUGCUAACACGUAAUGGUGAGGACUCUAGCGGGACUGCCGGUGUCAAACCGGAGGAAGGUGGGGAUGACGUCAAGUCCUCAUGGCCUUUAUGUCCAGGGCUGCACACGUGCUACAAUGCGGUAUACAAUGCGAAGCGAGACCGUAAGGUGGAGCAAAUCGCAAAAAGUACCGCCCAGUUCGGAUUGUGGUCUGCAACUCGACCACAUGAAGUUGGAAUCGCUAGUAAUCGCGUAUCAGCUAUGACGCGGUGAAUACGUUCCUGAGCCUUGUACGCGCCGCCCGUCAAGUCAUGGAAGCCGGUAGUGCCCGAAGUGGCCCUGUUUCAGGGGUCCCUACGGCAAGAUCGGUGACUGGGACUAAGUCGGAACAGGGUA